rnacentral:rRNA from 1 species
UGCGUAGGCGGGCUAAUAAGUCAGUGGUGAAAUCUCUCGGCUCAACCGGGAAACUGCCAUUGAUACUGUUAGUCUUGAGUUCGGUUGAGGUAGGCGGAAUGUGUAAUGUAGCGGUGAAAUGCUUAGAUAUUACACAGAACACCAAUUGCGUAGGCAGCUUACUAGACCGACACUGACGCUGAGGCACGAAAGCGUUGGGAGCGAACAGGAUUAGAUACCCUGGUAGUCC